rnacentral:lncRNA from 1 species
ACAAAGUGGCUGUACCAUUUGCAUUCUCACCAGCAGUGAACGAGACUUCCUGCUGCUCCACGUCCAAUGUUAAGCACAUUCACAUUGUUGUGCAGCCGAGCUCCAAAACUUUGGCAUGUUGCCAAGGCAAAGCCCUGUGCCCAUAAGACAACGAGAGGCGGCGCCCAGUUCGUGGCGCUCCUCGGCCGCGCCCUCCGGCGUCCUCCCGGGGAACUGCAGACGCAGCCGCCCAGCGGGGCCUCCACCUGGAUCCCAGCGGGCGCGGAGCGAGUCGGUACCGCGAGUCAGAGUUUGAACAGCUGAUGUUCAAGGACAGAUAAUGAGGAGGAGGAAUCAGUCCCACUCCUCCGAGGACAGUCACAUCCUAUGCUAAGCUACCCUAGUGCCCUGAGCUUAUUGGCAGCCUGGUCAACAAAGGAAAGCACCCACCCCACAUUUCUUCGAGUCAGGAAAUGGACACAGGCAAGAAGGAGAUUCAUCACCUGGAUGGCCACAAGAGCUGGGAGGUCCUUGGACCAACUUGUAACAAACUUAGGAAGGCGUCUCUGGGCCAUGGAACUGGCUAGUCAGGGAGACCAGGGAAUCUGAAAACAAUCCUGCUGCCUCCCCACCCCUAGCUUCAAACUCACCGCAGCCACAACCACAACUAGGCGAAAACCAGGCCAAGGAAAACAAACAAGGUGAAAACAAACCAAGGAAGCUGAGCCAGCAGCCAGCCAGGUGCGGGCCCCCAGCAGUACUGCCAGCAGCCUCAAGGUGGGAGGAGGGGGGUUGGGUCCAGGCAGGCCCUGAGAACUAGAGGGCUUGAUGCUGGGUCUGUGUGUAAGUGGUACAUGUGUUAAUGUGUGUGGUUUCGUGGGUGUGUAAAUAUGUGCAUGUGAGUAGUAUGUGAGGGUGUGAAUGGUUUAGGGGUGUGUGAUUCUGUCUUUUGAGUGUACUCAUGUGACGUGAGGGGACACCGAGAACUUCAUCCCCCCUACAAUGGUCUUUCUGAUCACUGUGACCUCCUAGAGCACCAGUGAAGCCCAGUAACAAACCUGGGAAGUGAAGGCCACUCAGGAGGAGACAGGUGAUAAUGAGACGGUAGGGACAUGUUCUGGGGAUGAGACUGUGACCACAUUAGGGAGUGUGAGCCUAAAGUGACCAGUGGAUGGCAGGAUCAAGUCCAAAGACCCCUGAUUCUUCUUUGGAAUCUUUACAGAGCUGGAGAGUCAGGCUUGGGGGAGGGGAGGACUUCCCAAAUCCUAACCCCCACUCCCUUGGGAUAAGCACCUGGAGCGAGCAGGAGGGACAGCGGCCACCCCUGCACCCUUUGA